UACGGGGGGAGCAAGCGUUGUUCGGAUUUACUGGGCGUAAAGGGCGCGUAGGCGGUUUCUUAAGUCAGGGGUGAAAUCCUGGAGCUCAACUCCAGAACUGCCUUUGAUACUGGGAGACUUGGAGUCCGGGAGAGGUGAGUGGAACUGCGAGUGUAGAGGUGAAAUUCGUAGAUAUUCGCAAGAACACCGGUGGCGAAGGCGGGUCUCUGGGCAGUAACUGACGCUGAGGAGCGAAAGCGUGGGGAGCGAACAGG
rnacentral:rRNA from 1 species